AGAGUUUGAUCCUGGCUCAGAGUGAACGCUGGCGGCGUGCUUAACAUAUGCAAGUCGAAUGAGAAUGGUCCUUUGGGAUGUCAGCUAAGUGGCGGACGGGUGAGUAAUGUAUAGUUAAUCUGCCCUUUAGAGGGGGAUAAUAGUUGGAAAUGACUGUUAAUACCCCAUAUUCCUUUUACAUUAAUUGUAAUUGGGAAAUGUUUUUUUGCUAAAGGAUGAGACUAUAUGGUAUCAGGUAGUUGGUGGGGUAAGAGCCCACCAAGCCAAUGACGCCUAGCUGGUCUGAGAGGAUGAUUAGCUAUAUUGGAACUGAGAUAUGGUCCAGACUCUUACGGGAGGUAGCAGUGGGGAAUAUUGCAUAAUGGAGGAAAUUUUGAUGCAGCAACGCCGCGUGGAGGAUGACGCAUUUCGGUGUGUAAACUCCUUUUAUAUGGGAAGAUAAUGAUGGUACCAUAUGAAUAAGCACCGGCUAACUCCGUGCCAGUAGUUGUGGUAAUACGGAGGGUGCAAGCGUUAAUCGAAUCACUGGGCGUAAAGCGCGCGCAGGCGGCCUUUUAAGUUGGAUGUGAAAGCCUACGGUUUAAUCGUAGAAUUGCAUCCAAAACUAUUGGGCUAGAGUGUGGGAGAGGAAGAUGGAAUUAGUUGUGUAGGGGUAAAAUCCGUAGAGAUAACUAGGAAUAUUAAAAGUGAAGGCAAUCUUCUGGAACAUUACUGACGCUGAGGCGCGAAAGCGUGGGGAGCAAAUAGGAUUAGAUAUCCUGGUAGUCUAUGUCUUAAACGAUGAAUGUUAGUCGUCGGGUAGCUAGUCUAUUCGGUGAUGCAGCUAACGCAUUAAACAUUCCGCCUGGGGAGUACGGUCGCAAGAUUAAAACUCAAAGGAAUAGACGGGGACCCGCACAAGUGGUGGAGCAUGUGGUUUAAUUUGAAGAUAUGUGAAGAAUUUUACCUAGCCUUGAUAUAUAUUAGAACACUUUAGAGAUAGAGUGGUGCUUUUGGGAGUUUUUUAUACAGGUGUUGUAUGGCUGUCGUCAGCUCGUGUUGUGAGAUGUUGGGUUAAGUUUUGUAACGAGCGCAACCCUCGUCACUAGUUACUAAUGGUUCGGCCGAGGACUCUAGUGAGACUGCCUUUGUAAGGAGGAGGAAGGUGAGGACGACGUCAAGUCAUCAUGGCCCUUACGGCUAGGGCAACACACGUGCUACAAUGGCCAGGACAAUGAGAUGCGAUACCGUGAGGUGGAGCAAAUCUAUAAACCUGGUCUCAGUUCGGAUUGUAGUCUGCAAUUUGACUACAUGAAGCUGGAAUCACUAGUAAUCGUAGAUCAGCUAUGUUAUGGUGAAUACGUUCCCGGGUCUUGUACUCACCGCCCGUCACACCAUGGGAGUUGAUUUCACCCGAAGCGGGGAAGCUAAAUUGGCUACCCUCUAUGGUGGAAUCAGCGACUGGGGUGAAGUUGAAAUAAGGUA
rnacentral:rRNA from 1 species